GUUCCGGUGGCUUAGUGGUUAAGACGUCCGCCUCGGAUACAGGAGGCCAUGGGUUCUAUUCCCGGUCGAGUCA